CGGAUGAGACCGGUGCUACUCAUGAAGGUGUUCGUCACCCGCAGGAUACCCCCCGAGGGCAGGGCCGCGCUCGCCCGGGCGGCAGAGAAGAGAUGCAACAGGCCAUUGAAUCCAGGCCCCCACCUGAGGCACACCCUGCCCCUCACGGGCCUUCCCUGCAGUUGGCUGCCUGCUUGGCCGCCCAGCCCUUCUGUGAGGUGGAGCAGUGGGACUCGGAUGAGCCCAUCCCCGUCAAGGAGCUGGAGCGAGGUGUGGCGGGGGCCCAUGGCCUGCUCUGCCUCCUCUCUGACCGUGUGGACAAGAGGAUCCUGGAUGCCGCAGGGGCCAAUCUCAAAGUUAUCAGCACCCUGUCCGUGGGCGUGGACCACUUGGCUUUGGAUGAAAUCAAGAAGCGUGGGAUCCGAGUUGGCUACACCCCAGAUGUCCUGACAGAUGCCACCGCGGAACUUGCAGUCUCCCUGCUACUUACCACCUGCCGCCGGUUGCCGGAGGCCAUCGAGGAAGUGAAGAAUGGUGGCUGGACCUCGUGGAAGCCCCUCUGGCUGUGUGGCUAUGGACUCACGCAGAGCACUGUCGGCAUCGUCGGGCUGGGGCGCAUAGGCCAGGCCAUUGCUCGGCGUCUGAAACCAUUUGGUGUCCAGAGAUUUCUAUACACAGGGCGCCAGCCCAGGCCUGAGGAAGCAGCGGAAUUCCAGGCAGAGUUUGUGUCUACCCCUGAGCUGGCUGCCCAGUCUGAUUUCAUCGUUGUGGCCUGCUCCUUAACGCCUGCAACCAAGGGACUCUGCAACAAGGACUUCUUCCAGAAGAUGAAGGAAACAGCUGUGUUCGUCAACAUCAGCAGGGGCGACGUUGUAAACCAGGACGACCUGUACCAGGCCUUGGCCAGUGGUCAGAUCGCAGCUGCUGGACUGGAUGUGACGACCCCAGAACCACUGCCUACAAACCACCCUCUUCUGACCCUGAAGAACUGUGAUUCCUUCACUUGUCCCUCACCAAGGACGGGACAAGCAGAACCCAGUUGUGACCAUGGCACUUGAAUCUGAUACCUAGACCAUCAGGAAAAUUAAAGAGCCCUUCCAGAAAAGGAGUUAACUGGAAGAAAUGAGAACUAGGUCAGGCCACAGCACUGCCAUUGCCAAAGCCCUGCUCUGUGCUCAAGGAAUCAGCUUCCAGUACUGGCAGAUGGAGUUUCCAACUUGAGAGGCAGGUCCAGGGAGCAGCACAAGAUUAGGUAGGCCCUUGGAGAGCAACUGGGUAGACUGAAAGCAAAAUCUCAUGCAUGUGCAUAGCUCAAAGACAGAAAAGGAAGGCGGGGGAAGGCAGAAGGGAAUGAUUUGAGGGGAAUGACCAGUUAACUUACUAGGUUUGGUUUAAAACAAAGUACUAGUCAAGGGGUGGCAAAAAGAUAUUACCCUCUUUUGUUUCAACCUUAAUAACCUAAAGAAAAAUAACACAUAUUUAGAGGCAUGAAUAUGACAAAUUUUUUAUUUCAAAAUCUCAAGUUGUAACCAGCAUAGCACCACUGACAUGGAUGCCUUGAUAGAACUCUAUGAUCUGAUCACCAGAAAAGAUUCUACAUGAUCACGCCAGACUAUAAUUAAGGCUAACCAAUCAAAAUUCAGGUACCCAAUACCAGUUAUAAUCCAGGUAGAAACUACAGAUCAUAGGAACCCUGGGACUGGCUUUCCAGGGAACCCUGGAAUUAUUUUUUAAGUGCUACAGCAUGUACAAGGACACUGGCCCACAAGCUUGCUUCUCACACGUAGAAACUGACCGACUAAGAGGUAGAUGAGAGAUUCCAGGUUCCAUCUAGCAGUGGAGAGGCAGGGCUCCAGCAUGUAUCAGAGAGAAGCCCCAAAAGCAAAGUCCACUUAUGCUUCAGCAGAGGUGAGCGGGCAGGCUCCUGGCACCACCUCCUCCACAGGGAAGGGAAAGAGGGCUGCACCGCUCUCCCUGUGUCACUGGCUCCUCUCCCUGGGUCCAGGUGGGGCCUCUUGUUUUCUCCAGGCUAACCCACUGUGUCCCAAGGUUAAUCUCACAAGACACUGGUCCCUACAUCACGUAAAGGGUGGAUGGGGGAGCCUCCUAAUACUAUGUCAACAUGACUGCUAACAAGGAGCCACACACACAACUGAAUUUCACAGGACCCCAUAUCCUCCAACGGGCUCUUUCCCACGUCUACUCGAAAGGAAUCGCGGGUUUCCCUUUGGGCUUUUCUUCCUGGGAAUCAGUCCAUGGGAGAUGCCAAGCCCUGCUGGAACAUGAAAUUAUCCACGGAUGUGUAACUGCAUACUCUAACAGGAGAGAAAACACGCUUAUUUUUGUUUCCAGCUA